rnacentral:rRNA from 1 species
UACGGAAGGCAGCAGUGGGGAAUAUUGCACAAUGGGCGCAAGCCUGAUGCAGCCAUGCCGCGUGUAUGAAGAAGGCCUUCGGGUUGUAAAGUACUUUUCAGUCGUGAGGAAGGUGUUAAGGUUAAUAACCUUAGCAAUUGACGUUAGCGACAGAAGAAGCACCGGCUAACUCCGUGCCAGCAGCCGCGGUAAUACGGAGGGUGCGAGCGUUAAUCGGAAUUACUGGGCGUAAAGGGCACGCAGGCGGUUAAUUAAGUUGGAUGUGAAAUCCCCGGGCUUAACCUGGGAAUGGCAUUCAAGACUGGUUAGCUAGAGUCUUGUAGAGGGGGUAGAAUUCCAUGUGUAGCGGUGAAAUGCGUAGAGAUGUGGAGGAAUACCGGUGGCGAAGGCGGCCCCUGGACAAAGGCUGACGCUCAUGUGCGAAAGCGUGGGGAGCGAAACGAGGGAUUAGAUACC